rnacentral:tRNA from 1 species
AUUUAUCUAAUAUAAUAAGUAUAUUUGACUUCCAAUCAAAAGGUUUGUUUUAUAACAAGAUAAAUA